rnacentral:rRNA from 2 species
AAUGGCUGCAGUAAUAUAACUGUACAAAGGUAGCAUAAUCAUUAGUUUUUUAAUUAAAAGCUUGUAUGAAAGGUUGGACGAAGUAAAAUCUGUCUCUUUUUAAUAUAAUUAGAAUUUAAUUUUUAAGUAAAAAAGCUUAAAUUUAUAUAAAAGACGAGAAGACCCUAUAGAGUUUAAUAAUUUAUUUUAAAUAAUUAAUUUAGAUUUAUUUAUUUUAUUUUUUAUAAAAUUAUUUUAUUGGGGUAAUAAAAAGAUUAGUAUAAUUCUUUUUUUUAUUUUACAUUAAUUUAUGAAUUUAAUGAUCCAUUUUUUAUGAUUAAAAGAUUAAAUUACCUUAGGGAUAACAGCGUAAUUUUUUUAAAGAGUUCAUAUCGAUAAAAAAGUUUGCGACCUCGAUGUUGGAUUAAAGAUUAAUUUAGGUGUAGAAGUUUAAAUUUUUGGUCUGUUCGACCAUUAAAUCUUUACAUGAUCUGAGUUCAAACCGGUGUAAGCCAGGUUGGUUUCUAUCUUUAUAAGAUUUUUAUAUUUUAGUACGAAAGGACCAAAUAUUUAAUAUAUAAAUAUUUUAUUAUUUUGAAUAU